rnacentral:rRNA from 1 species
UACGUAGGGUGCAGGCGUUAAUCGGAAUUACUGGGCGUAAAGCGUGCGCAGGCGGUCUUUUAAGUCAGAUGUGAAAUCCCCGGGCUUAACCUGGGAACUGCGUUUGAAACUGGAAGGCUAGAGUGUGGCAGAGGGGGGUGGAAUUCCACGUGUAGCAGUGAAAUGCGUAGAGAUGUGGAGGAACACCGAUGGCGAAGGCGACUCUUUGGCCUGUAACUGACGCUGAGGCGCGAAAGCGUGGGGAGCAAACAGG